rnacentral:piRNA from 1 species
AGUGAUUGGACUUUAAGACCUGG